rnacentral:rRNA from 1 species
AUACGUAGGUGACAAGCGUUAUCCGGAUUUACUGGGCGUAAAGGGCGUGUAGGCGGUCUUGCAAGUCAGAAGUGAAAUUCCUGAGCUCAACUCGGGCGCUGCUUCUGAAACUGCAGGACUUGAGUGCUGGAGGGGAUAGCGGAAUUCCUAGUGGAGCGGUAAAAUGCGCAGAUAUUAGGAAGAACACCGGUGGCGAAGGCGGCUAACUGGACAGUAACUGACGCUGAGUCGCGAAAGCGGGGGGAGCAAACGGGAGUAGAUGCCCUGGUAGUCCACGCCGUAAACGAUGAAUACUAGGUGUAGGGGGUAUCGACUCCCUCUGUGCCGCAGUUAACACAAUAAGUAUUCCGCCUGGGGAGUACGGCCGCAAGGUUGAAACUUAAAGGAAUUGACGGGG